AACGGCGAGUGAAGAGGGAAUAGCCCAGCACCGAAGCCUGCGGCAGAUUUGCUGUUAGGCAAUGUGGUGUUUGGGUCGGCUAGUGGGAUUGCCACUCCACUCGAAGUCCAGCAUUGAGUAUGGUCACUGGAUUUGGCCCAGAGAGGGUGAAAGGCCCGUACGGGUGGAGGUUCAGACAUGUAAGGCAGUUCACCAGGCCGGCCUUAGAGUCGGGUUGUUUGGGAAUGCAGCCCAAAGAGGGUGGUAAACUCCAUCCAAGGCUAAAUACAAGCACGAGUCCGAUAGCGAACAAGUACCGUGAGGGAAAGUUGAAAAGUACUUUGAAGAGAGAGUAAACAGUACGUGAAACCGCAUGCAGGUAAACGGGUGGCGUCAAGCUGCAAGCCCAGAGAAUUCAGCUGACUAGGGUGCAUGCGUCUGUCGCAUCAAUCAGUCGGAAUAAGAUGUUAAUAGUCCACUGGGUUACGGUGGACCCGGCCGCAAGGUUGGGACAUGCGUACCGGGCGGAAGCCGGAGCAUACUGUUCAUCUGUUGGACUGUCUAGUUAGUGCACUUUCUCUGUGGUGAACACCACGACCGGUGGAAUUGCCAGUCUGCUGUAGUCAAGUUGUGCUGAGUUGGUUCUUGUAAUCAGCUGGGUGCGAUCACAGGCAAAUUCAGUAAACGGCGUAAGGGUGUUUCGGCACCUUUGCGUGUUAUCGGCUACUGGUUGUCAACGGGCCUGCCUUAUGAUUGUUGUAACUGUCAUUUGGUGGUCUGGUGGACUAUGGUGGUAUGAAUAACUGUGCAAGGCAUCGGAGUUUUCGGCCUCAAAUGCAUCCCGCAUACACGUUACAAGUGGUGCGGGGUGCCAUUGCUAUCUGCCUGUUGUUGGGUCUGAUUGUCGUGUCGCCUGCACAAAGUGGGCCCGGCAGUGGCUCGAUAUGGGAUAGGUGGUGGAUGGUGCUCCCGGUGUGGGGUGCGGUGGGCCAAAUAGUCAGUGGUGUAGUGGUAGACGAGCUACCCGACCCGUCUUGAAACACGGACCAAGGAGUUUAACAUGUAUGCGAGUCAUGGGGUCCUACGAAACCCAAAGGCGCAGUGAAAGUGAAGCUUCGACUUGUUCUCGAAGUGAGGUGAGAUCCUGCCGUUACUCGCAUCAGCCUAAUGUCAGCAUCAGGUUAAGAGCGGCAGGCGCAUCACCGGCCCGUCCCAUGAUGUGGUCAUUGGAUGUCUGUAGUUGUCGCUCGCGGCAGCUGUGGUGCCAGUGCGUC
rnacentral:rRNA from 1 species